UUCACAGGUUCUUUAUCCCUUUACUUGUUUAUCCUCUGCAGAUAGUUUGAGAAUCAUCCCACCUGUUGCCUGCCUGAACCAAGAACCAGAUCCUAGAGGAGGACUGUGCCAUACUAGUUGGUUGCAGAUCUACUGGGAUCCUAAUAUUGAGAGAGAUCUAACAGGUAGGUAAAAAAUGGAAUUUAUUCAAGGUGCUGAGACUCUUAAAAGAGAAGACUGUUAUUGCCCCUUCUGA
rnacentral:lncRNA from 1 species